rnacentral:rRNA from 1 species
UCGGAGCCUUGCUUCGGCAGGGUGACGGCGUGCCUUUUGCAUAAUGAGCCGGCUAGUUAUUCUAUGCGGCUAGGUUAAGCAUGGAGACAUGUGGAGCCGUAGCGAAAGCGAGUCUGAAUAGGGCGUCGAGUCGUAUGGAAUAGACGCGAAGCUGAGUGAUCUACCCUUGGCCAGGAUGAACUUCGGGUAACACCGGAGGGAGGUCCGAACCGGUGUCGGUUGAAAACGGCUCGGAUGAGCUGAGGGUAGGGGUGAAAGGCUAAUCAAACUCAGUGAUAGCUCGUUCUCUCCGAAAUAGCUUUAGGGCUAGCCUCGCAUGAUUGGUGAGGGAGGUAGAGCACUGGAUGGCCUAGGGGUUCGAAAGAUCUACCGAAUCCAACUAAACUCCAAAUUCCCUCAACCUCAGUGCGGGAGUAAGACUGCGGGGGCUAAGCUCUGUAGUCGAAAGGGAAACAGCCCAGACCGUCAGCUAAGGUCCCUAAAUGCAAGCUAAGUGGGCAAGGAUGUAGAGGUGUUUAGACAACCAGGAGGUUGGCUUAGAAGCAGCCAUCCUUUAAAGAAAGCGUAACAGCUCACUGGUCAAGUGUCUUUGCGCCGACAAUUUAACGGGGCUUAAGCUUGCUACCGAAGCUACGGAUCCUCUAGGGGAUGGUAGGAGAGCAUUCUCAUCUGAUUGAAGCCUCGAUGUGAGUCGGAGUGGACGGAUGAGAAGAGACCCUGCCGGCAUGAGUAGCGAAAUUCCGGCUAAAACCUGGAACGCCGAAAACCUAAGGUUUCCUGAGGAAGGUCAGUCCGCUCAGGGUUAGUCGGUACCUAAGCUGAGGCCGAAAGGCGUAGGCGAUGGACAGCAGGUCAACAUUCCUGCACCACCUGAAGAGCGUUUGUACGAAGGGGGGACGCAGGAGGAUAGGCAUACACACGGAUGGAAAUGUGUGGCCGCCAGGUAGGGGGAGCUUCUAGGCAAAUCCGGAAGCUCAUUAACCCCGAGCACGGCGGGGAAGAUUUCCUUCGGGAUUUCCAACUUGCUGAAUCCAAACUGUCAAGAAAAUCCUCUAAGGAGUUUUUCAGGUGACCGUACCGUAAACCGACACAGGUAGGUGAGGAGAGAAUCCUAAGGCGAACGUGUGAACCCUCUUUUAGGAACUCGGCAAAUUAACCCCGUAACUUUGGAAGAAGGGGUGCCUCGGUAGUGUUAUCUUGCCUUGCGCAAAGGAGCAUGAGGAGGCCGCAGAGAAAUGGCCCAGGCGACUGUUUACUAAAAACACAGGUCUCUGCAAAGUCAAAAAAACGACGUAUAGGGACUGACGCCUGCCCGGUGCCGGAAGGUUAAGAGGAGGGGUUAGCCCUCGGGCGAAGCUCUGAAUCGAAGCCCCGGUAAACGGCGGCCGUAACUAUAACGGUCCUAAGGUAGCGAAAUUCCUUGUCGGGUAAGUUCCGACCCGCACGAAGGGCGUAACGACUUGGGCACUGUCUCAAAGAGGGGCACGGCGAAAUUGUAGCACCGGUGAAGAUGCCGGUUACCUGCCGCUGGACGGAAAGACCCCGGCACCUUAACUGCAUCUUGGCAUUGGAUUUCGGGUUAGUAUGUGCAGGAUAGGUGGGAGACUAUGAAGUUCCGACGUUAGUCGGGAUGGAGUCAUCGGUGAGAUACCACUCUUACUAUUCUGAGGUUCUAACCUGCAUCCGUAAUCCGGGUGAGGAACAGUGUCAAGUGGGUAGUUUGACUGGGGCGGUCGCCUCCCAAAAUGUAACGGAGGCGUCCUAAGGUUCCCUCAGGCUGUUUGGAAAUCAGCCGUGGAGUAUAAAGGCAUAAGGGAGCUUGACUGUGAGACCGACAAGUCGAUCAGGUAGGAAACUAGGGCUUAGUGAUCCGGCGGUCCUGUAUGGAAGGGCCGUCGCUCAACGGAUAAAAGGUACGCCGGGGAUAACAGGCUAAUAGGGCCCAAGAGCUCAUAUCGACGGCCCUGUUUGGCACCUCGAUGUCGGCUCAUCGCAUCCUGGGGCUGAAGUCGGUCCCAAGGGUUGGGCUGUUCGCCCAUUAAAGCGGUACGUGAGCUGGGUUUAGAACGUCGCGAGACAGUUCGGUCCCUAUCCACGGUAGGCGAAGGAGAUUUGAGGGGGGCUGUUCCUAGUACGAAAGGACCGGAACGGACGAACCUCUAGUGUACCAGUUGUCCCGCCCGGGGCAGCGCUGGGUAGCUACGUUCGGAAGGGAUAACCGCUGAAAGCAUAUAAGCGGGAAGCUUGCCCCAAGAUAAGAUCUCCCACCCUUUCGAGGGCUGAAGGGUCCUUGUAGACUACGAGGUUGAUAGGCUGGAUGUGUAAGUCCGGUGACGGAUUUAGCUAACCAGUACUAAUAGCCCGUGAGGCUUGACCAU